UGUCCAAACAUUUGACACUUUUUACAAAAUAAUAGCAAUAUUGUUCUAAAAAUAUAAAUUUUUAUUUAAUAUAAUUAAGACAUAAUUAAAAGUGUAUUCUGUGUUUUUAGUUUUAUUUAAAGCAAACAAAAUUUUUAAACGAACUCCCUUUUUAAUUAUGCACAUUGUUGUCAUUAAACCUGUCUAUAAACAAAAAGUAGACAAAAUGGUAGUGUUAUUAAUCAGAAGGAUGAAUGAUUUAUGAACUUGUAAAAUAAAACUGACGCUAGUUCACCUACACUGGUCAUUUGUGAUCAACUCCCCCUAGUGGUGAAUCGUCGGAUUUUUGAAACGUUUCGAAACAGUUAUGACGUAAUGAAUCCUCGUUUGCUAAAAUCACGUGACUUUGGCCAGUUUGAAACAAGCUCCGAACCACUGAUUCGAAACAAAAGAUUCGUAAAUGUUUCGAAGCUUCAUGAAGCGUGCUUCGAAAUCGCCCAACACUAGCUCUGAUUGGCUGUUUCUUAGAGCAGCUCUUUUUAGUAGCUGUGUGUGCGCGUAAACAGACCAUAUGUUUGAGGCUUUAUUAGAUAAAGAUACGUCAUUUGAUGAAUAAUCAAGUCUUUGCAGAUUAUUAAUGGAUGUUUCUGAGUGUGGAAGAGUAUUCGACCGGACAGAACUGUUCCUCAUCGCUGAAGUCGACCAAAGAGGAAAGAAAAUAACGAGGUUGGAACAACAUGGGG